UACGAAGGGUGCGAGCGUUGUUCGGAUUUACUGGGCGUAAAGGGUUCGUAGGCGGGAGAAUAAGUUAAGUGUGAAAUCCCUGGGCUUAACCUAGGACGUGCACUUAAAACUGUUUUUCUUGAGUGUUGGAGAGGGUGGUGGAAUUGCUGGUGUAGGAGUGACAUCCGUAGAGAUCAGCAGGAACACCGGAGGCGAAGGCGACCACCUGGCCAAACACUGACGCUGAGGAACGAAAGCGUGGGGAGCAAACAGG
rnacentral:rRNA from 1 species